UACGUAGGGUGCAAGCGUUGUCCGGAAUCAUUGGGCGUAAAGCGCGUGUAGGCGGUUCGGUAAGUCCGCUGUGAAAGUCGGGGGCUACAACCCCUCGAAUGCCGGUGGAUACUGUCGGACUAGAGUACGGAAGAGGCGAGUUGGAAUUCCUGGGUGUAGCGGUGAAAAUGCGCAGGAUAUCAGGAGGAACACCCAAUUGCGAAGGCAGCUCGCUGGGACGUUA
rnacentral:rRNA from 1 species